GGACCGGCGCGGCGUUACGUCGUAUCGAAUGAAGUUGUCGAUUUAUAUCGAUAAUGAAACAUAUCGAAGUAUCGCGAGCAUGAGACGAUAGUGCAGUCUGAAUCGACAUGCAUUCGAGUGAGAGACUGCCACGAAGAAAUAGCACCAGAAAUAAAAGAGGAGAAGGAGGAGGAGGAGGAGGAGGUGUGGGGCAGCAUCAAGUUAUGGUGGGGUUGACAUGAGAUUAAUAGUUAAUGCACCAGCAAAUUGAGAAGAAUUAAAGGAAAGGUAUCAAGCGUCAUAAAUCUUUCUCUCUGGAAUCAAUGUAAUUGAUGACAAAUUGAAAGAAGAGGCAGAGAUCUAGGAAAAACACUGGGUGUCAGAAAAGGAUUUCUAAAAUCAAUGUGUAAUUGACGACAAAUUGAAAGAGGUCUGGAAAAGUCUUGGGUGUCGGCAAAGUAAUCCUAAUAUCAACGUAAUUGACAAAUUGAAAGAGGUCUGGAAAAGGCUUUGGGCGUCAGCAAAGCAAUCUUAAUAUUAACGUAAUUGACGACAAAUUGAAAGAGGUCUGGAAAAGUCUUGGGUAUUAGCAAAGCAAUCCUAAUAUCAACACAAUAGCAGUCAACUCCUGUUGUUCAUCAGUUGAUAAGUUUUAAUUAUUUUAUUAGCGAGGUAACGGUUUUUAUAUAUGAAAAUGUAGAUUUUGCAAAUUGUUGAUUGUAGAUUGUAGAUUGUAGAUUCGUAGUUCCGUUACCUCUAGAUAUAUUAGAUAUACUAGAUAUAUUAGAAAUUAUAAUAGAUUGAGAUAAAAAUUUCACUUUAAAAAGAAUGUUGUAAGCAUCUAAGGUAUUCGAAUGCCAUGUCGCGCGUUUAUAAAUGCGGAGUUUCGUGCAAAAUGCCGCAUGCUUAUAAAUUCGGAGUUUCGUAGAAAGUUUCGCGCGUUUAGUGCGGGAAUGUCGUGUAAAGUAUCGCGCGUUUAUAAGUGCGGGAGUUCCGUGUAAGUAUCGCGCGUUUAGUGCGGGAGUGUCGUUUGUUUAAAGUUUAAAGUAUCGCGCGUACAAAGCAAAGGACGACAGACUAUUCCUGACCAACCUGAGAGGAUGAACUGGGCAUCAGGCGCCGGCGGAGCAACCUUGGGAUCAACGUAGAUGCAGAGUCAACUCCGCUGCUUCGCAUCGAUUUGG